rnacentral:lncRNA from 10 species
GUCUUGGCUGGGUGUGGUGGCUCAUGCCUGUAAUCCCAGCAGUCUGUGAGGCUGAGGCAGGAAGAUCUCUUGAGCCCAGGAGUUCAAGACCAGCCUGGGAAACAUAGUGAAACCCUGUCUCUACUGAAAAUUAAAAAAAAAAAAAAAUUACCCCGUCAUGGUGGUGCAUGCCCGUAGUCCCAGCCACCUACUCAGAAAACAGAAGGCAGUGUAGGGAGGAUCAUCUGAGCCUGGGGGUUGAGGCUGCAGUGAGCCAUGGUGGCACCACUCCACUCCAGCCUGGGUGACAGAGUAAGGCUGUUUUUUUUAAAAAACAAAACUCUUGAACAUUGAGAUGUGAUGAGCCGAGCUUCUGGGCUGGUGAACAGAACACACUGAAGUGCUGGGAAGGUAGUGACCUCAGAGAAAGCAUACCUUGUUUGCUUUAUAGCCAGUUGGUCAGAAGUACAAACCUGGACUUGUGACUAGCUUCAAGUGGGGGCAGUCUUGUAGGACUGAGCCCUUUAACUUGUGGGUUCUGAUGGUAACAUCAGGUAGACAGUGUCAGAACUGAAUCAAAUCACAAGCCACCCAGUUGGUAUGUGGAGAGAAUUGGUCAGUUGGGAAAAAAUUCCCACACAUCUGGUGUCAGAAGUACUGUGGGGCCAGGUGCAGUGGCUCACCCGAGACUGCCCCCCACUUCUGAUGCCAACACCAAGUCCCAGGUUAUUUUACCUGUGCUUCCGACCGACCAGCUGUAAACUGGGAUUCCCAUGUCCCGCUCCUUUGGUUUGUCGUGUUAGAGCAGCUCACAGAACUCAGGGAAACACCUUAUCAGUUUAUUAUAAAGUAUAUUACCAAGGAUUCAGUUCAAGAGAUGUAGAAGGCAAGGUCACAUGAGAAGGGGCACAGCAUUUCCAUGCCCUCCCUGGGUACGCCACCCUCUAGGAACCUCCACCUGCUCAGCAACCUGAAAAGCCUUCUAAACUCUAUCCUUUCCGGUUUUAUGGAGGCUUCAUUGCACAGAUCUGAUUAAUUAAACCAUUGGCUAUUGGUGAUCAACUUAACCUCACCCCCUCCCUCUCAACCAGGUGCACCUUCAAAGGUGUAAGAAAUGAAUUCCUUUUCUUCAUAAAGGCCCCUGUUUCAGUUAUUCUGCUAUAAGUAACAGAAAAUGGACUAAGAUAGACAAUUGGUACCAGGAAUUAGGGGUAGGGCUGAAAAGUCCCAACCCUUUAAUCGGGCCUUGGUCUUUCAGGUGACCAGCCCUCCAUUCUGAAACUAGGGGAUGUCAGCCAUAAGUCAAC